rnacentral:rRNA from 1 species
AAUUGGAACACAGGUGCUGCAUGGCUGUCGUCAGCUCGUGUCGUGAGAUGUUGGGUUAAGUCCCGCAACGAGCGCAACCCUUAUCAUUAGUUGCUACGCAAGGGCACUCUAAUGAGACUGCCGGUGACAAACCGGAGGAAGGUGGGGAUGACGUCAAGUCCUCAUGGCCCUUAUGGGUAGGGCUUCACACGUCAUACAAUGGUCGGUACAGAGGGUUGCCAAGCCGCGAGGUGGAGCCAAUCCCAGAAAGCCGAUCGUAGUCCGGAUUGUUCUCUGCAACUCGAGAGCAUGAAGUCGGAAUCGCUAGUAAUCGCGGAUCAGCAUGUCGCGGUGAAUACGUUCCCGGGUCUU